AACCGGUUUCACCAGCUUGCACCCAUUCCUGAAAAACGCCCAGCAGUGCUACCUUAGCCUAAACAGCAAUGAUAGUUAUUAAAGCAUCGAUAUAUAUGAUUAUUCGUUUCGCUGGACUUUGUCUUCUUUGUUUGUUUGUUUGUUUGUUUGUUUGUUUGUUUGUUUGUUUGUUUGUUUAGGUAAUCCAGGAUCCCGUGCGUGGACAGGUGGUUAGACAGGUACAGGGAGGAACCCUCAGCUCUGCAGGAGGAAGUGAGAAUGAAGAAAGAGGAAAAGGCAGCAUGAAUACUCGGACUACUGAUGCAUUUGAAAGAAGACUCUUAUUUCAUAAUAAAUAUGUUCAUCAUAAUGGCAAAAUCCCACAUUCAUAAAUGUAACUAUAGUAACCAGAGACUUGCUUUUUUGCCCUUUUAAUAUUAUUUUUUUUAUUGUAUAUCAUUUUUUUUCUGUAUAAGUGGCUCAACUAGCAAAAAGGCGUUAAAAUAUAAAUUAUGGAUUGUGAGAAUAACGACCCCUUGUUCUCUCCCAAUGUUUUUAUUGUUCAUUCUUUUAUACUGAAUGUAUAGUUUUCUCUAUGUAAAACAAACAAAAGACGUUGGUUGGAAGCUGCAUGAUGAGAAACAUCUUUAAGCAGCUUUUAACCGAAUCAGAAUGUAACGUGUCAAAAAAUAAGACUUUUUAAAAACUUUUUGUAUCCAUUUUUAAAUAUAUGUUUUGUCAAUAGAAUCAAAAUGUCUUUAUAAUGAAAGAGGGACAUUCUUAAUUAAAAACAUCUUGUAAAUUCU